rnacentral:rRNA from 1 species
UACGUAGGGUGCGAGCGUUGUCCGGAAUUAUUGGGCGUAAAGAGCUCGUAGGCGGUCUGUCGCGUCGGUCGUGAAAACUUGGGGCUUAACCCUGAGCUUGCGGUCGAUACGGGCAUGACUGGAGUUCGGCAGGGGAGACUGGAAUUCAUGGUGUAGCAGUGAAAUGCGUAGAGAUCAUGAGGAAGACCAGUGGCGAAGGCGGGUCUCUGGACAGUUCCUGACACUGAGACACGAAGGCCAGGGGAGCAAACGGG